UACGUAGGUGACAAGCGUUGUCCGGAUUUACUGGGCGUAAAGAGCGCGCAGGCGGUCGAUCAAGUCGAGUGUGAAAGCCCCCGGCUCAACUGGGGAGGGUCAUUCGAUACUGAUCGACUCGAAGGCAGGAGAGGGUAGUGGAAUUCCCGGUGUAGUGGUGAAAUACGUAGAGAUUGGGAAGAACACCAGUGGCGAAGGCGGCUAUCUGGACGGUUUCUGACGCUAAGACGCGAAAGCGUGGGGAGCAAACAGG
rnacentral:rRNA from 1 species